UGCAAGUCGAGCGGAAACGAGUUAUCUGAACCUUCGGGGAACGAUAACGGCGUCGAGCGGCGGACGGGUGAGUAAUGCCUAGGAAAUUGCCCUGGUGUGGGGGAUAACCAUUGGAAACGAUGGCUAAACCGCAUAAUACCUACGGGUCAAAGAGGGGGACCUUCGGGCCUCUCGCGUCAGGAUAUGCCUAGGUGGGAUUAGCUAGUUGGUGAGGUAAUGGCUCACCAAGGCGACGAUCCCUAGCUGGUCUGAGAGAUGAUCAGCCACACUGGAACUGAGACACGGUCCAGACUCCUACGGGAGGCAGCAGUGGGGAAUAUUGCACAAUGGGCGCAAGCUGGAUGCAGCCAUGCCGCGUGUGUGAAGAAGGCCUUCGGGUUGAAAGCACUUUCAGUCGUGAGGAAGGUAGUGUAGUUAAUAGCUGCAUUAUUUGACGUUAGCGACAGAAGAAGCACCGGCUAACUCCGUGCCAGCAGCCGCGGUAAUACGGAGGGUGCGAGCGUUAAUCGAAUUACUGGGCGUAAAGCGCAUGCAGGUGGUUUGUUAAGUCAGAUGUGAAAGCCCGGGGCUCAACCUCGGAAUAGCAUUUGAAACUGGCAGACUAGAGUACUGUAGAGGGGGGUAGAAUUUCAGGUUAGCGGUGAAAUGCGUAGAGAUCUGAAGGAAUACCGGUGGCGAAGCGGCCCCCUGGACAGAUACUGACACUCAGGAUGCGAAGCGUGGGGGAGCAAACAGGGUUAGAUACCCUGGKAGUSCACGSCGAAACGA
rnacentral:rRNA from 1 species